CUGCACCACUGGCAGCAGAAACCUGGGUUCCCUGGUAACAAUGUUGGACUGAGUAAAAUUGGACAGAAACUGGAUCCCGCUUCCCUGGAGGUCUUGGCUCUGCUGAGGAUCUAAGGUGCAUCUCUAUCAGUCUGACACACAGGAUGGUUUAUGGACAACAGAGCUGCAAUUUCUUGUACAAGUCAUAAAGAUCCCACAUGGUGUUACAUCCUCAGACCUCUUGUCCUGAAGCAGCAUGUUGAGGGCUGGAUUACGUCCAAAAGUCUCUCGUGAAAAAUGUGUUUCUGACAACCUGGGUGCAGUAACUCUUGAAAAUGUGACUGUUUCCGAUCCUAAUGAUCCAGCCACUUCCUCCUGCCCUGCAGUAACCUCUUUUUCCACCAUUCCCAUCGCCUGAUCCUCACAAAGUCACUGCUCGUUUCUAGCUUUCCAGCUUUUGAUCUGCCUGUGUGACCUACUGCCUGAACUAUGAAUUGAUGAUUCUCUACCUUACAUCCCUCUACUAAACUCCUUAUAUGAGUAGAUUAUCAUGAGGAGAUAUU